UCUUCUGUCUCCAGAUUUUUUAAUGAUCUCCAUUCUAACUGGCAUGAGAUAGUAUCUCAAUGUAAUUUUGAUUUGCAUCUCUCUGAUGACCAGUGAUGAUGAGCAUUUUUUCAUAUGUUUGUUGGCCUCAUGUAUGUCUUCUUUUGUGAAGUGUCUGUUCAUAUCCUUUGCCCAUUUUUGAAUGGGCUUGUUUGUUAUUUUCCUGUAAAUGUUUGAGUUCUUUGUAAAUUCUGGAUAUCAGCCCUUUGUCAGAUGGGUAAACUGCAAACAUUUUUUCCCAUUCUGUUGGUUGCCGAUUUACUCUAGUGACUGUUUCUUUUGCCGUGCAGAAGCUGUGGAGUUUGAUUAGGUCCCAUUUGUCUAUUUUGGCUUUUGUUGCCAAUGCUUUCGGUGUUUUGAUCAUGAGAUCUGGCACUAGACAAGGAUGCCCUCUUUCACCACUCCUAUUCAAUAUAGUACUGGAAGUUCUAGCAAGAGCAAUCAGGCAAGGAAAACAAAUAAUGCGUAUUCAAAUAGGAAAGGUGGAAGCCAAAUUGUCUCUAUUUGCAGAUGAUAUGAUAGUAUACCUAGAAGACACCAUCGCCUCAGCCCAAAAACUCCUGAAACUGAUAAGCAACUUCAGCAAAGUCUCAGGAUAUAAAAUCAAUGUGCAAAAAUCACAAGCAUUCCUCUACACCAAUAACAGACUUAAAGAAAGCCAAAUCAAGAAAGAACUGCCAUUCACAAUUGCUACAAAAAGAAUAAAAUACCUAGGAAUACAACUCACAAGGAACAUAAAGGACCUUUUCAAGGAAAACUACAAACCACUGCUCAACAAAAUAAGAGAGGACACAAACAGAUGAAGAAACAUUCCAUGUUCAUGGUUAGGAAGAAUUAAUAUCGUGAAAAUGGCUAUACCGCCCAAAGUAAUUUACAGAAUCAGUGCUAUCCCCAUCAAGCUACCAUUGACUUUCUUCACAGAACUGGAAAAAACCACCAUGAACUUCAUAUGGAACCAAAAAAGAGCCCGCAUAGCCAUGUCAAUUCUAAGCAAAAAGAACACAGCAGGGGGCAUCACACUACUGGAUUUCAAACUAUACUACAAGGCUACAGUAAUCAAAACAGCAUGGUACUGGUACCAAAACAGAGAUAUAGACCAAUGGAACAAAACAGAGACAUCGGAGGCAACACAACAUAUCUACAACCAUACAAUCUUUGAUAAACCUGAUAAAAACAAGCAAUGGGGAAAGGAUUCCUUGUUUAAUAAAUGGUGUUGGGAAAACUAGCUAGCCAUGUGCAGAAAGCAGAAACUGGGCCCCUUCCUGACACCUUACACUAAAAUUAACUCCAGAUGGAUUAAAGACUUAAACAUAAGACCUGGCACCAUAAAAACCCUAGAAGAAAAUCUAGGCAAAACCAUUCAGGACAUAGGAGUAGGUUAUAAUUGUUUAUAUAAAUUAUCUAUUAGCAGUUGUAUUUAAUGUAAAUGGACCAAAUGGUAUAUUUAAAAGACAGAGACUGUUGGACUGAAAUUUAAGAAAAUCAAAUUAAAUACUCUUUGUAAGGAACAUAUCUAACAUAUAAGAGUACAGAAAUGCCUGUGCACCCCUUCCCAGCUGCCCGGACUGACUGCCAGCUCUCCUUAGUUGCGCCGUCACCACGCUGUCCGUCUGCGUCCCACUCGCGCCCAUCACGGACCCGCAGCGGCUGCAGCUCUCCCGCUGAAGGGGCUCAAGCCUGGUCGACAAGGAGAACAUGCCCCCAGCCCUGAACCGGACCUGCGUCCUGGCCUGCAAGACCGCGAGGAGGAUCUUUCGGGAGCCCGCAGAGCUGAAAGCUAGAGCAGCCGCCCCCAGCAUGGAGGAUGAACCGCUGCUGAGAGAAAACCCGUGCCGCUUUGUCAUUUUCCCCAUGGAGUACCACGAUAUCUGGCAGAUGUAUAAGAAGGCGGAGGCCUCCUUCUGGACCGCCAGGAGGUGGACCUGUCCAAGGACAUUUGGCACUGGGAAUCCCUGAAGCCGGAGGAGAGAUACUUUAUAUCCCAUGUUCUGGCUUUCUUUGCAGCAAGUGAUGGCAUAGUAAAUGAAAACUUGGUGGAGUGAUUUAGCCAAGAAGUUCAGAUUACAGAAGCCUGCUGUUUCUAUGGCUUCCAAAUUGCCAUGGAAAACAUACAUUCUGAAAUGUAUAGUCUCCUUAUUGACACUUACAUAAAAGAUCCCAACGAAAGGGAAUUUCUCUUCAAUGCCAUUGAAACGAUGCCUUGUGUCAAGAAGAAUGCAGAUUGGACCUUGCCCUGGAUUGGGGACAAAGAGACUACCUAUGGUGAAGGUGUCGUAGCCUUUGCUGCAGUGGAAGGCAUCUUCUUUUCUGGUUCUUUUGCAUCCAUAUUCUGGCUCAAGAAACGAGGACUGAUGCCUGGCCUCACAUUUUCUAAUGAACUUAUUAGCAGAGAUGAGGGUUUACACUGUGAUUUUGCUUGCCUGAUGUUCAAACAGCUAGUACACAAACCAUCAGAGGAGAGAGUAAGAGAAAUAAUUAUCAAUGCUAUUCGGAUAGAACAGGAGCUCCUCACUGAGGCCUUGCCUGUGAAGCUCAUUGGGAAGAAUUGCACUCUAAUGAAGCAAUGCAUUGAGUUUGUAGCAGACAGACUUAUGCUGGAACUGGGUUUUAGCAAGGUUUUCAGAGUAGAGAAUCCAUUUGACUUUAUGGAGAAUAUUUCACUGGAAGGAAAGACUAACUUCUUUGAGAAGAGAGUAGGCAAGUAUCAGAGGAUGGGAGUGAUGUCAAGUCCAACAGAGAAUUCUUUUACCUUGGAUGCUGACUUGUAAAUGAACCGAAGAUGUGCCUUUAUUUUGCUGAUUUUUUUUCCACCUCAUGAAAACAUCACCUAAAGUGUUAUCAACUAGCUACACCAUGCAUUGUCCGUAAUGUUCAUUAACAGCAUCUUUAAAACUGUGUAGCUACCUCACAACCAGUCCUGUUUAUUUAUAAUGCUGGUGCUAUCACCUUUUGCUAGCAGAUUGGCUGGCUGGCUGUGACUUACCAUAGCAGUGACAGUGGCAGUCUUCUUGACUUUAAAGUGAGGGGUGACCUUCUAGUGAGCUUGACACAGCAGGAUUAAACAUUUCAUUUAACCAGCACAGGCAGUUGAAUGAUGCAGUCUCACUGCUUCAAUGCAGAUUUUAAUGUUUACUUAAAUAUAAAACUGGCACUUUACAAACAAACAUUGUUUGUACUCAAAAGAUGAUAAUAGCUUGAUUUAUUUGGUUUCUACACCAAAUACAAAGCAUUCUCCUGACCACUAACAGGAGCCAAUUCACAAUUCACUAAGGGACUAACGUAAGUUAAACUUGUAUAGACUAAGCAUGUAAUUUCUAACUUUUAUUUUAAUGAAUUAAAAUAUU